GUGGGGAAUAUUGGACAAUGGGCGAAAGCCUGAUCCAGCCAUGCCGCGUGUGUGAAGAAGGUCUUCGGAUUGUAAAGCACUUUAAGUUGGGAGGAAGGGCAGUAAGUUAAUACCUUGCUGUUUUGACGUUACCGACAGAAUAAGCACCGGCUAACUUCGUGCCAGCAGCCGCGGUAAUACGAAGGGUGCAAGCGUUAAUCGGAAUUACUGGGCGUAAAGCGCGCGGAGAGGGUUUUGUAAGUUGGAGGUGAAAUCCCCGGGCUCAACCUGGGAACUGCCUCAAAAACUGCAGGACUAGAGUACGGUAGAGGGUAGUGGAAUUUCCUGUGUAGCGGUGAAAUGCGUAGAUAUAGGAAGGAACACCAGUGGCGAAGGCGACUACCUGGACUGAUACUGACACUGAGGUGCGAAAGCGUGGGGAGCAAACAGGAUUAGAAACCCCAGUAGUCC
rnacentral:rRNA from 1 species